CUAUUAUUUUCGCCCCCCUCCUUUGUUUUUUCCUCUCUUUCUUUUCUUCUCCUCUCCUCCCUCCAUCGAUCUCUCGCUCUCCUCUUCGUCGAUCGGUUGCCGCUGUAGCCACCACUGGGACGUCGCCAGCCACACAACCCAUCACUCCUCCUCCUUGCUCGAUUGUCGUGUUUCUCCCUCCUCCUUUGCUUGAGAAUUCUCUUUAGCCGGCUUUUAAGGUUGUGAAAGUGGUCUCUCGAUUUGUCGACACAAGGAUCUAGAUAUGUUUUGUAGCAAGGAUAUUCGGGUGGGAAGCUAUGCCAACCCGGUCGUGUGAUGAUGAGAUGGAUGUGGUGUCUGAUUAUGAUGAUGAGAGUUAUUCUAGUAUAGAGUUGGAGAUGUGUAGGGUGUUGAAGGUCAGUACAGUGAUGAUGAUGUCAUACAAGAGUUUGAUCGUGCUGGGAGUCAGACUCAGAUGGAUAUAUAUGAUGCUGUGAUGAGGAGUGUGUUUUAGGGAGCCGAGGUACCCUGUGCUAGAUGACUAUGAUGAGGAUGAUAAGGAUGAUGAGGAUGAUGAGUUUGAUGAUGUACCUCCCUGGAUUAUUUACCUAUGUAUUUAUGUUUUUAGAAUAAAUGUUGAAUAUAUA